UCGAUUUGGAGUUUGUUGCCUAGAGUGAUGGGCUCCGAAGCUAACGCGAUAAAUCGACCGCCUGGGGAGUACGGCCGCAAGGUUAAAACUCAAAUGAAUUGACGGGGGCCCGCACAAGCGGUGGAGCAUGUGGUUUAAUUCGAUGCAACGCGAAGAACCUUACCUGGUCUUGACAUCCACAGAAUCUUGCAGAGAUGCGAGAGUGCCUUCGGGAACUGUGAGACAGGCGCUGCAUGGCUGUCGUCAGCUCGUGUUGUGAAAUGUUGGGUUAAGUCCCGCAACGAGCGCAACCCUUAUCCUUUGUUGCCAUUGGUUCGGCCGGGAACUCAAAGGAGACUGCCGUUGAUAAAGCGGAGGAAGGUGGGGACGACGUCAAGUCAUCAUGGCCCUUACGACCAGGGCUACACACGUGCUACAAUGGCGUAUACAAAGGGAGGCGACCUCGCGAGAGCAAGCGGACCUCAUAAAGUACGUCUAAGUCCGGAUUGGAGUCUGCAACUCGACUCCAUGAAGUCGGAAUCGCUAGUAAUCGUGAAUCAGAAUGUCACGGUGAAUACGUUCCCGGGCCU
rnacentral:rRNA from 1 species